GACGAACGCUGGCGGCGUGCUUAACACAUGCAAGUCGAACGGAAAGGCCCUGCUUUUGUGGGGUGCUCGAGUGGCGAACGGGUGAGUAACACGUGAGUAACCUGCCCUUGACUUUGGGAUAACUUCAGGAAACUGGGGCUAAUACCGGAUAGGAGCUCCUGCUGCAUGGUGGGGGUUGGAAAGUUUCGGCGGUUGGGGAUGGACUCGCGGCUUAUCAGCUUGUUGGUGGGGUAGUGGCUUACCAAGGCUUUGACGGGUAGCCGGCCUGAGAGGGUGACCGGCCACAUUGGGACUGAGAUACGGCCCAGACUCCUACGGGAGGCAGCAGUGGGGAAUAUUGCACAAUGGGCGGAAGCCUGAUGCAGCAACGCCGCGUGCGGGAUGACGGCCUUCGGGUUGUAAACCGCUUUCGCCUGUGACGAAGCGUGAGUGACGGUAAUGGGUAAAGAAGCACCGGCUAACUACGUGCCAGCAGCCGCGGUGAUACGUAGGGUGCGAGCGUUGUCCGGAUUUAUUGGGCGUAAAGGGCUCAUAGGUGGUUGAUCGCGUCGGAAGUGUAAUCUUGGGGCUUAACCCUGAGCGUGCUUUCGAUACGGGUUGACUUGAGGAAGGUAGGGGAGAAUGGAAUUCCUGGUGGAGCGGUGGAAUGCGCAGAUAUCAGGAGGAACACCAGUGGCGAAGGCGGUUCUCUGGGCCUUUCCUGACGCUGAGGAGCGAAAGCGUGGGGAGCGAACAGGCUUAGAUACCCUGGUAGUCCACGCUGUAAACGGUGGGUACUAGGUGUGGGGUCCAUUCCACGGGUUCCGUGCCGUAGCUAACGCUUUAAGUACCCCGCCUGGGGAGUACGGCCGCAAGGCUAAAACUCAAAGGAAUUGACGGGGCCCCGCACAAGCGGCGGAGCAUGCGGAUUAAUUCGAUGCAACGCGUAGAACCUUACCUGGGUUUGACAUGGAUCGGGAGUGCUCAGAGAUGGGUGUGCCUCUUUUGGGGUCGGUUCACAGGUGGUGCAUGGCUGUCGUCAGCUCGUGUCGUGAGAUGUUGGGUUAAGUCCCGCAACGAGCGCAACCCUUGUUCACUGUUGCCAGCACGUUAUGGUGGGGACUCAGUGGAGACCGCCGGGGUCAACUCGGAGGAAGGUGGGGAUGACGUCAAGUCAUCAUGCCCCUUAUGUCCAGGGCUUCACGCAUGCUACAAUGGCUGGUACAGAGAGUGGCGAGCCUGUGAGGGUGAGCGAAUCUCGGAAAGCCGGUCUCAGUUCGGAUUGGGGUCUGCAACUCGACCUCAUGAAGUCGGAGUCGCUAGUAAUCGCAGAUCAGCAACGCUGCGGUGAAUACGUUCCCGGGGCU
rnacentral:rRNA from 1 species